GAUGAACGCUGGCGGCGUGCCUAAUACAUGCAAGUCGAGCGAACAGAUGAGGAGCUUGCUCCUCUGACGUUAGCGGCGGACGGGUGAGUAACACGUGGAUAACCUACCUAUAAGACUGGGAUAACUUCGGGAAACCGGAGCUAAUACCGGAUAAUAUAUUGAACCGCAUGGUUCAAUAGUGAAUGACGGUUUUGCUGUCACUUAUAGAUGGAUCCGCGCCGCAUUAGCUAGUUGGUAAGGUAACGGCUUACCAAGGCAACGAUGCGUAGCCGACCUGAGAGGGUGAUCGGCCACACUGGAACUGAGACACGGUCCAGACUCCUACGGGAGGCAGCAGUAGGGAAUCUUCCGCAAUGGGCGAAAGCCUGACGGAGCAACGCCGCGUGAGUGAUGAAGGUCUUCGGAUCGUAAAACUCUGUUAUUAGGGAAGAACAAAUGUGUAAGUAACUAUGCACGUCUUGACGGUACCUAAUCAGAAAGCCACGGCUAACUACGUG
rnacentral:rRNA from 1 species